rnacentral:lncRNA from 1 species
AUGGAGGAAGUUUUCUCUCUGUUCCUAACUGUGUCUUUCUGUCGUUUUAUGGAAUUCCUUAGUUCUUAUAUGUAGAAGUAUACUAUGAUUCCGUAGAAGAUCUUGAGGAAUUUAUGUAUAGAGCCAAUGAUUAACGAGAUCAGAAGUCACUACCACAGACCUUGACAUGAAGAGGUACUUGCAUAAUCAACAAUCAUUCCAUUAAAGAUCCACUGACAGAGUGAAGUACUUGUUCAAGGGAUCUCGCCUUAAGAGUCGAGAUCCUUUGAAGUUAGUAUCAGAAGACUUGUGAAUUGGAUAUUCCUAGGAAUGGGAAGGAUAGAUGGAUGCAGAUCCAUCCAAAUGACCAUGUAUGAAAUGUCUUUUCUUUCAGAUCCAACUCCUCACUUCCCUCCUUCAGCUGUAAGUCUCCCUUUAUAUUUUCUCAGGGCAAACACAUUACAAAACGAAAACGUCAUUAGAACCCAUAAAUUCAUCUAGCAUUCUAAUGAUGAUGAGUUCGAACUAGUUGUUCUAUUAUUUUAAAUCUACUGUCUCCAUAAAACCGAUUUGAAUACUGAAUUUUGGCAAAGUUUUGCAAAAGUAUAUUAUAUUUAUUGAGUUUAACGUUUACAUAAAGAUCCCAACCAUAUCACUGCCCAAAAAAAUAUUCAAUUCCGUGAGAUAUAACUAUAUUAUUUUGUCAUAUAAAGUAGUACCUUCAAAUUCUUGUCACGGAUAGCUUUUAUGUUUUGACUCCUGAGUCUCUCCAGUUAAAUUGUGGAUUUUUUAAGAUACAUCCUACGCUUUGAUAUAAUUGAACGAUGUCUCCUUUAAGCAGAGGCAAAUGCCUGAAAGUACUUUUCGAAAGACUGGAAUCGCUAAAACCUAUAUUUUUCAGCAUUUUAACACAUCUCCGGAGGCAAGGGAGGAUCUCAGAAAUGGACCCAUUCUUUAUGUCUAUGUAACAUCCGGAAACUGAAAUGCAAUGUAAUCUUCACGAAAGUUGAAGAAAAUAUGCAAAUCCAGACAUGAAAUAUCAAAAGAUUUUUUGUUUUACUUUUCUGUUAAACGGAUUGUCUUAAGGAUAUAUUUUUAAAAAAAUCAAGCCCUUAUUUAUUCCUCUAAUCAUAAGACGGAUAAGUAUCUACUUCAUUGUCGUCACAUGGGAUUCAAAAUGUCAAAUUUUACUCCAAGACAGCAAGUGUAUUUCCUUAGUUAUAGUGGUGUAUGGUAUCUCCCUCCUUAGGGAAGGACUUUAAUGAGAGGAAGAUGAACAACACCAAUCCUGAUCCCUCAUAAAUUUGGAUGGGUCUUUCUGACCUUAAAAUUCAUCAUGGAGGGAUAUAAUAAGACUAUAUUACUGGAUACAUUUUAGGAUCAUUAGUACACGAGUUUUCUUAAUUUACAUAAUAUAACAUCAACAUGUAAGAUUAUAUCUAUGAUAUCUUUAUAAAUGAUCAAACACGUUCAGGUUUUCGAGGAAGAGUUAUCAGCAUAAGCGUACGGAGAUAUAGCAUAUUCUAUUCAUAUAUACUUAUAUAGUCUCAUAAAAUUAUAGGGAUUCCCCGGUGGGCCAACGGGACAUUUUCCUCACCACAAAUGAAAUAGGCCUGUCAAUGAGUUAUUUUCCUUAACCCAUUCAGUCCAAAUCUUACCUUCAUCCUUUGGCAAUAACUCCAAAACCUUUGAAAACGCAACAUUCAUGUGGCAACUCCUUUCAUCGUUUCCUCUACUGUUGAUCCCAUCAUUGUUCAAAAUAGUUUCUAAUUAUUUGAUUUUAAACUGCAAAACCUAACCUAAUAAGGAAAUUUGUGUUUAAUAUAGUGAUUAGUAUUUUUGAUACUUUUAUAAUAUAAUUUUUAAAAACUAAAAUUUCUUGUUGGUUUUUAUAAUUUUAUAAUAAAGAUUUUUUUAUAAUGGAA